AGAGUGAACGCUGGCGGCAGGCCUAAUACAUGCAAGUCGAACGGCAGCACAGCAGAGCUUGCUCUGUGGGUGGCGAGUGGCGGACGGGUGAGGAAUACAUGGGAAUCUGCCCAGUCGUGGGGGAUAACGUAGGGAAACUUACGCUAAUACCGCAUGCGCCCUUCGGGGGAAAGCCGGGGACCUUCGGGCCUGGACGCGAUUGGAUGAGCCCAUGUCGGAUUAGCUAGUUGGCGGGUAAAGGCCCACCAAGGCGACGAUCCGUAGCUGGUCUGAGAGGAUGAUCAGCCACACUGGAACUGAGACACGGUCAGACU
rnacentral:rRNA from 1 species